rnacentral:rRNA from 1 species
CGGAGUUGGACGACUAGGUCGCCGGAGACGGGCAGCGUGGUCGAACAUGGGGAAGAUCUGGCGAUGGGGCUGGUUCUGGUGUCCGGUGAGAGCGGGACGGCGUAGAGGGCGUGAGGUAGUCACGAAGGACACGGAGAGGUGCUCAUCGCCGUCCUCGAGCGUCGUGAAGAUGCCGCUGGAGUUGCUUGGAGCUUCGGUCCGUCGCGAUCUUUGCGGAGGUCAUGCUCCGGCUGGAUGUUUGAGGGAAAGAACUUGUUAGGGAACUAGGUAAUUGCCCGUCCGUUGCUACGGGAACGGAACAAUUUUCAACAAAACAAAAGUAUCAUGAAAUAACAUGGUGUUCUGAGGAAUAUCUCCCGAUCUUACAAACAUGAUGUUUUGAGCAACAUUAAGAUACAUAAGCAUCAAUUUUACAUCGCAGUGUCAAAGCAAGCAUGAAUAAAGGACAAUAAACACCAUGAUAGCCAAGUUAAGUUCACCAUAACUCUCUUUUUCAAAUUAUUUUUCCUAUGAUAUGGCUAUACUGUCAUGAAUCAUAAAUCAAUAAAUCAUAGGCAAUUCCCAUCAUAUGUCAAUAGCUUGAUUAAAAAUUUCCCCCGUAGUGCAUCCCAUACAUAAAUUGGAGUUGUAUAUCCAAAAGUUUUCCCUCAAGGACUGUACCACUUCAAAUUAAAAUGGUAUUUGUUGUCCUCUUUAACUAAUUCAUUCUCCCAUAUAAGCAUGUAAUAUGAAGAAAGUAGUAGUGCAUUAUGAUCACAUGGCUUCUUAUCCAUUUUGAUAGAUGGUCAAUAGUUCCUUUGCAACAAACUCAAGUUAGUAAGAUGAAGAAAACAAGACUGGAUUCCUAAACCAAACUGUCAAAUUCUCACACAAAUUACUUAGUACUAUUUAGAUACUUAUUUUCUCGAUCGAUACUACAACCCUUUCAUAUGCUAGCAACCAAGAAACUACACAAAAUUGGGACCUCCCCAUGGUCCGGCUUCUCCAGAGUACCAACUCCUCGCCGUUCUCGUUAUGUGCAGGCGUUGUCUGCCAAGGUAGCAUCAGCUCCACGAUGGCCUCCUCCAAGCUCAACGACAGUCAGCCCAAUUACAAAUUGAAGAAGAAUCUUGUUGCUUAUAGAUGACAAAUACAACAACAAUAAUUAGACAUACAAGACCACCAUUGAAAGACUUCGUAACACCUACUUGUUUUAUGUGGCUAUAUAAUAAGCUCUCACAUUCCACAUUACAAGUCAAAAAACAAAAAAUGAUCACGGGUUUCUGUUUCCAGUUUGCAAGAUAUAAGCUUAUAUAAAACUGUUUAUUAUCACUACUUUGUUUCUCUCCAAGCAAGAAUACAUAGAUCGGAAGAAAUAUAUCUGCUUAUACUAUAACUGGUUUCCUUUUUUUCCUAGCAAAUAUAUGCAUAAAUGUGAAGAGAUUAUAGUUUAGGGUAAUAUGUGCGAUCAUUGUUCCAUAUAUACAUAGUUAAGAGGAGAAACAACGUAUACCACCUAUAAAUUUGUUCUAUACAACAAUUCUGCAGUGCAAGACAAUCAAAAAGGAUAAUACAAACAAUGCAAUUAGGCAUAGGGAGAGUGACAAUAUAGUAUUGAAAAGAGAUGCCUAUAAAUAGUGAAACUCGUGGAUAAAAUUGACAAACAAUGAGACUGUCAAUUUAGAAUAAGCAAGUAUCUCUAACUGUUGGUGGUAUCAUAAUUGACCUCCUUCAGUGAGCUGCUCACGAAACAUUCAUUCAUCUCUACUCUCUUUUGUUUAGUCAAAAGCUAAAUGCUUGAGAAAAAAGUACUGAACAAUCGUUGUUAUAUUUUUGAGAAUUUAUUCAAAACUGAUCAUGUGUAUUCCCUUCUUCUCAACCAUCCUUGAUAACUAUUACACAGUUGACGUGUUACGUGGAUGUGUAGACGAACCCGGAGGCCGAGACUUUGCUCGAAAACUCCAUGGAUGGUUGGAUGACAUGAUCCCAGGACAGCCAAAGUAUCUCUCUGAGUCGAGAGUUGUCGCAUGCCCGCACCCGGCCUCAAAAACCUGCAGAACAAAACAUUGGAAGAUAAAAGUAGGGGGAGCACGAACUGAGAGGGAGAGGAUUGGGCCAUGGCCGGUGACCGAAUCGGUGCUACGGCGGCCUGACGAUACGAGCGCAACGGCGGUGACCCCUGGAAGGCCAGGAGAUCAGGCCCACGCCCUCCUCGAUGGUCGAUGGCGAAGGGCGAAGCUGCUUCGAAUCCUUUGGUCGCCCGCUUCGGCGGGCUUGGUCCCUCGCAAGUGGCAAGUUUCGGAUGGGAACAAAGCGCCAUCGAUGGUGACGGAUUUGGAUGCCGAUCUCGCCAGCAGCUCACAGGAUUGGAAGAGCAGGGGGCGGAUUCAUAGCAGCUCACAGGAUUGGAAGAGCUCACAGGAUCUGAACGCCACAAUCUCGCCAUCGAUGGUGAUGCCAGAUUCGGUGGCGAGAUUGUGGUGGCGACCAGAUCGGGAGGGGUAGGGCCAGGGGAAACGAUUGGCGGGGGUUUGUUUGGGAGCGAGAGAGAUAGAGCGAGAUCCCGUUGACUCACGUCCAAUCUUUUUUUAGCGGAAAACCAACGUGGGUAAGAACGCAAACGGGUGGAUGGAGGGGUUGACGAUCCGUGCGAUGUAAGACGGGAAACGGAACCUUGCAGUUCUUUUAGGUAGUAGAGAUAGAGAUUCGCACGGAAAUAACUCGCCCGGGGAAGAAG